rnacentral:rRNA from 1 species
CCUACGGGUGGCAGCAGUUUCGAAUCAUUCACAAUGGGCGAAAGCCUGAUGGUGCGACGCCGCGUGAGGGAUGAAGGUCUUCGGAUUGUAAACCUCUGUCACCAGGGAAGAAACGUUUGAAGUUAACAGCUUUAAACCUGACUUAACCUGGAGAGGAAGCAGUGGCUAACUCUGUGCCAGCAGCCGCGGUAAUACAGAGACUGCAAGCGUUAUUCGGAUUCACUGGGCGUAAAGGGUGCGCAGGCGGCCGUGUGUGUUAGGUGUGAAAGCCCGAGGCUCAACCUCGGAAUUGCGCCUAAAACUAUACGGCUAGAGCAUUGGAGAGGGUAGCGGAAUUCAUGGUGUAGCAGUGAAAUGCGUAGAUAUCAUGAGGAACACCAGAGGCGAAGGCGGCUACCUGGACAAUUGCUGACGCUCAGGCACGAAAGCGUGGGGAGCGAAAGGGAUUAGAUACCCCUGUAGUCCACGCCCUAAACGGUGCACACUAGGUCUUGGAGGAUUCGACCCCUUCAGGGCCCAAGCUAACGCGUUAAGUGUGCCGCCUGAGGACUACGGCCGCAAGG